CAGAAUACACACAAACACGCACGCAUAUAACUAUUAUAACCUCCACGGCACGGCAUACAUUUAUUUUCACAUACAUCGACCACACAAUGACAUAAUGACACGAGACAUGCCAGUUUGCAUAUACAACUCGAUACACUUUCAGAUAAAGGUACUCAACAUUUAAGUUUGAGUAGAGCGUUGGUGUAAUUGACGCUUGGCUCAGCAGACUUAUAGACCUCAUGUUCUCUGAAUAAAAGCUUUAUAUACACCCUCAAAUUAUCAUUAUUGCUCAAUACAGGACUUCCAGGUCUCGAGUUGACAAAAGAGAUCAUUUGUUAUGAGAUGGAUUCUUCUUCAACAAGGCAUAGGCGUCGCUAUAUAUAGCCACCAGAUUAGAAAAGACAGCAAGGACAAUCAUCAAUGACACGAGACAUGCCAGUUUGCAUAUACAACUCGAUACACUUUCAGAUAAAGGUACUCAACAUUUAAGUUGAGUAGAGCGUUGGUGUAAUUGACACUUGGCUCAGCAGACUUAUAGACCUCAUGUUCUCUGAAUAAAAGCUUUAUAUACACCCUCAAAUUAUCAUUAUUGCUCAAUACAGGACUUCCAGGUCUCGAGUUGACAAAAGAGAUCAUUCGUUAUGAGAUGGAUUCUUCUUCAACAAGGCAUAGGCGUCGCUAUAUAUAGCCACCAGAUUAGAAAAGACAGCAAGGACAAUCAUGAAAAUACUUAAGAUCUUGUCCCUCUUUGUAGCUAUGCCAUAUCGAUCCCUGACAUCACAAGAAAUAAUUGAACACUUACUUUUUAUCAAGAUCAUGGACCAAAAGAAUACCAAAAUAAACAGGAGAAAUUUUUAGAAACAAGAAACAAAAGGUUUAUUAGUAGUUGCUAGUAUAAAGGAAGGAUAAAGCAAAAUAUGGAUAAAACAUAACAGGGAGUGUAUUUUAGAAAGUAACAGUCGAAGCUUGCAAGAAGACUAAAUCUAAUUUGGUAUCUUCCAGUAGUUAAAAGCAGCAAAAUACAGGAAACUGUAACAUACUUUAGAAUAACUGCAGCAGGAAAGAUG
rnacentral:lncRNA from 1 species